UGGGGAAUUUUGGACAAUGGGGGAAACCCUGAUCCAGCCAUCCCGCGUGUGCGAUGAAGGCCUUCGGGUUGUAAAGCACUUUUUGGCAGGAAAGAAACGUCGCGGGUUAAUACCCCGCGGAACUGACGGUACCUGCAGAAUAAGCACCGGCUAACUACGUGCCAGCAGCCGCGGUAAUACGUAGGGUGCAAGCGUUAAUCGGAAUUACUGGGCGUAAAGCGUGCGCAGGCGGUUCGGAAAGAAAGAUGUGAAAUCCCAGAGCUUAACUUUGGAACUGCAUUUUUAACUACCGGGCUAGAGUGUGUCAGAGGGAGGUGGAAUUCCGCGUGUAGCAGUGAAAUGCGUAGAUAUGCGGAGGAACACCGAUGGCGAAGGCAGCCUCCUGGGGAUAACACUGACGCUCAUGCACGAAAGCGUGGGGAGCAAACAGGAUUAGAUACCCUGGGUAGUCCACGCCCUAAA
rnacentral:rRNA from 1 species